GGAGUGGGUGUAGUGGUAGCACGCGCCCUCCGUAUGGGUGAACUGCGGGUUCAACUCCAGCCUGAACUG